GCACUACAGAGGAGUCUCACAACAGGACGAAACGGCCGUCCAGUUC
rnacentral:hammerhead_ribozyme from 1 species